rnacentral:rRNA from 1 species
UACGUAGGGUCCGAGCGUUGUCCGGAGUUACUGGGCGUAAAGCGCGCGCAGGCGGCGGUGUUGGCCCGGCGUGAAAGCCCCCGGCUCAACCGGGGAGAGUCGUCGGGGACCGCACCGCUUGAGGGCGGUAGGGGCUGGUGGAAUGCCUGGUGUAGUGGUGAAAUGCGUAGAGAUCAGGCAGAACACCUGGGGCGAAAGCGGCCAGCUGGGCCGUCCCUGACGCUGAGGCGCGAAGGCGUGGGGAGCGAACGGG